rnacentral:rRNA from 1 species
GAUGAACGCUAGCGGGGGGCCUAACACAUGCAAGCCGAGCGGUAUUGUUUCUUCGGAAAUGAGAGAGCGGCGUACGGGUGCGGAACACGUGUGCAACCUGCCUUUAUCUGGGGGAUAGCCUUUCGAAAGGAAGAUUAAUACUCCAUAAUAUAUUGAACGGCAUCGUUUAAUAUUGAAAGCUCCGGCGGAUAGAGAUGGGCACGCGCAAGAUUAGCUAGUUGGUGAGGUAACGGCUCACCAAGGCGAUGAUCUUUAGGGGGCCUGAGAGGGUGAUCCCCCACACUGGUACUGAGACACGGACCAGACUCCUACGGGAGGCAGCAGUGAGGAAUAUUGGUCAAUGGGUGCAAGCCUGAACCAGCCAUCCCGCGUGAAGGACGACUGCCCUAUGGGUUGUAAACUUCUUUUGUAUAGGGAUAAACCUACCCUCGUGAGGGUAGCUGAAGGUACUAUACGAAUAAGCACCGGCUAACUCCGUGCCAGCAGCCGCGGUAAUACGGAGGGUGCAAGCGUUAUCCGGAUUUAUUGGGUUUAAAGGGUCCGUAGGCGGACUUAUAAGUCAGUGGUGAAAGCCUGUCGCUUAACGAUAGAACUGCCAUUGAUACUGUAAGUCUUGAGUAUAUUUGAGGUAGCUGGAAUAAGUAGUGUAGCGGUGAAAUGCAUAGAUAUUACUUAGAACACCAAUUGCGAAGGCAGGUUACCAAGAUAUAACUGACGCUGAGGGACGAAAGCGUGGGGAGCGAACAGGAUUAGAUACCCUGGUAGUCCACGCCGUAAACGAUGCUAACUCGUUUUUGGGCUUUAGGGUUCAGAGACCAAGCGAAAGUGAUAAGUUAGCCACCUGGGGAGUACGCUCGCAAGAGUGAAACUCAGAGGAAUUGACGGGGGCCCGCACAAGCGGUGGAUUAUGUGGUUUAAUUCGAUGAUACGCGAGGAACCUUACCAAGACUUAAAUGGGAAUUGACAGCUUUAGAAAUAGAGCUUUCUUCGGACAAUUUUCAAGGUGCUGCAUGGUUGUCGUCAGCUCGUGCCGUGAGGUGUUAGGUUAAGUCCUGCAACGAGCGCAACCCCUGUCACUAGUUGCCAUCAUUCAGUUGGGGACUCUAGUGAGACUGCCUACGCAAGUAGAGAGGAAGGUGGGGAUGACGUCAAAUCAUCACGGCCCUUACGUCUUGGGCCACACACGUAAUACAAUGGCCGGUACAGAGGGCAGCUACACAGCGAUGUGAUGCAAAUCUCGAAAGCCGGUCUCAGUUCGGAUUGGAGUCUGCAACUCGACUCUAUGAAGCUGGAAUCGCUAGUAAUCGCGCAUCAGCCAUGGCGCGGUGAAUACGUUCCCGGGCCU